rnacentral:rRNA from 1 species
UACGGGAGGCAGCAGUGGGGAAUAUUGCACAAUGGGGGAAACCCUGAUGCAGCAACGCCGCGUGAGUGAAGAAGGUUUUCGGAUUGUAAAGCUCUGUUAGCAGGGAAGAGGAAGGACGGUACCUGCAGAGGAAGCCACGGCUAACUACGUGCCAGCAGCCGCGGUAAUACGUAGGUGGCAAGCGUUGUUCGGAAUAACUGGGCGUAAAGGAUGCGUAGGCGGUUGAGUAAGUUAUGUGUUAAAUAUAUAGGCUUAACCUGUAGAAAGCACAUAAAACUGUUUAACUAGAGUGCAGGAGAGGUAAGUGGAAUUCCUAGUGUAGCGGUGAAAUGCGUAGAGAUUAGGAAGAACACCAGUGGCGAAGGCGACUUACUGGACUGUAACUGACGCUGAGGCAUGAGAGCAUGGGGAGCAAACAGGAUUAGAUACCCUGGUAGUCCAUGCUGUAAACGAUGGGUACUAGGUGUGGGUUGU